CGGCCUUUAUUUAAAGUAAAUUGGGUAGACAAAGAAAAGUUCAAUAAUCGUGAGGUUGAAUUAUAGGAGAAGACUGAAGAGCAUGAGUUGGGUGCAAUCAUUUGCCACCCAUAUUUCUUCAAAUUCCUUUUUGUUUUAUGCCUUUUUGCUUUCGGUUAAAAAGGGUGAAAGAUUCUCUCUCCCUCUCUCCCUCUCUGGAUUUUGCCCCCCCUCAUGAGAUUAAGGAAGCAUAGGCAAUGCUUUCCUUCUUGCUCUUCCCAUCACAGAGUUGAUGAGGAUGAAAUUUAUCGUAGACAUAAGAAACGCGAUGGGGAGUUGGAAUGGCCACAUGAUUCAACUCAUGUCAAAUCGCAGUUAGCUCAAUGUUUUAUUAAUGCUAUGGUUGGACCACGAUCAUGGACAGGACUGUUUACCCGCUCAAGCAACAAACGAAAUGAGAAGCAUGGUGACUACUCUUUGAGUCCUCUUCAGGAACAGAGACUUUUGAGGCUUCAAGCACGAUUACAAGUUCCUUUUGAUGAGAAUCGCCCUGAUCAUCAAGAAGCCUUGAAAGCAUUGUGGCGUGCUGCCUUUCCAGAUGUUGCUCUGCAAGGUUUAAUUUCUGAGCAGUGGAAAGAGAUGGGGUGGCAAGGUUCUAACCCUUCUACUGACUUUAGGGGUUGCGGUUUUAUCUCCCUAGAGAACUUGCUGUUUUUCGCCAGGACUUAUCCAGUGUCUUUCCGUAGGUUAUUGUUCAAGGAAGAUGGGAAGCGAGCAACUUGGGAAUACCCUUUUGCUGUUGCCGGAAUAAACAUAUCAUUUAUGUUGAUUAAAAUGCUGGAUCUUUGCUCAGCAAAACCAAGGUGUCUUCCAGGAAUAAAUUUCGUGAGAUUAUUAGGAGGUAAAUGUACAUCUCAAACAAGAAGAUGAAGCCGCUUUUGAUGUACUAUACUGUAUAGCUUUUGAAAUGGUUGAUGCUCAGUGGCUUGCAAUGCAUGCGUCCUACAUGCAGUUUAAUGAUGUUCUCCAAGCAACAAGGACGCAGCUGGAAAGAGAGCUGUCUUUAGAAGAUACUCAAAGAAUACAUGAUUUACCAGCUUACAAUCUUUUGUACCAGUAGCUAGCUUUUUGGUUUGUACAAAUUCCAUUAGAAUAUUACUCGGACUUAGCAUGUUCCAAUGAAUUAAAACAUUUCCGCUAUAUAUCACAGCUGUUCAUAAAACA